rnacentral:rRNA from 2 species
GGAGGCAUUGCGCGUGCUAUACAUGCAAGUCGAGCGGACAGAAGGGAGCUUGCUCCCGGAUGUUAGCGGCGGACGGGUGAGUAACACGUGGGUAACCUGCCUGUAAGACUGGGAUAACUCCGGGAAACCGGAGCUAAUACCGGAUAGUUCCUUGAACCGCAUGGUUCAAGGAUGAAAGACGGUUUCGGCUGUCACUUACAGAUGGACCCGCGGCGCAUUAGCUAGUUGGUGGGGUAAUGGCUCACCAAGGCGACGAUGCGUAGCCGACCUGAGAGGGUGAUCGGCCACACUGGGACUGAGACACGGCCCAGACUCCUACGGGAGGCAGCAGUAGGGAAUCUUCCGCAAUGGACGAAAGUCUGACGGAGCAACGCCGCGUGAGUGAUGAAGGUUUUCGGAUCGUAAAGCUCUGUUGUUAGGGAAGAACAAGUGCGAGAGUAACUGCUCGCACCUUGACGGUACCUAACCAGAAAGCCACGGCUAACUACGUGCCAGCAGCCGCGGUAAUACGUAGGUGGCAAGCGUUGUCCGGAAUUAUUGGGCGUAAAGGGCUCGCAGGCGGUUUCUUAAGUCUGAUGUGAAAGCCCCCGGCUCAACCGGGGAGGGUCAUUGGAAACUGGGAAACUUGAGUGCAGAAGAGGAGAGUGGAAUUCCACGUGUAGCGGUGAAAUGCGUAGAGAUGUGGAGGAACACCAGUGGCGAAGGCGACUCUCUGGUCUGUAACUGACGCUGAGGAGCGAAAGCGUGGGGAGCGAACAGGAUUAGAUACCCUGGUAGUCCACGCCGUAAACGAUGAGUGCUAAGUGUUAGGGGGUUUCCGCCCCUUAGUGCUGCAGCUAACGCAUUAAGCACUCCGCCUGGGGAGUACGGUCGCAAGACUGAAACUCAAAGGAAUUGACGGGGGCCCGCACAAGCGGUGGAGCAUGUGGUUUAAUUCGAAGCAACGCGAAGAACCUUACCGGUCUUGACGUCCUCUGACAACCCUAAAGAUAGGGCUUUCCCUUCGGGGACAGAGGGCAAGUGGUGCAUGGUUGUUUGUUAGCUCUUGU